AAGCGUCUGCGUCGGAACGAAGCCGUACACAUAAAAAAGAUCUUGCAGGCGGUCGUGUACGAGUGUGGUUUCGUAGCCACAACGUGGCUUUCAAAGCCUUUCU
rnacentral:sRNA from 12 species